rnacentral:rRNA from 1 species
UACGUAGGGUGCAAGCGUUAAUCGGAAUUACUGGGCGUAAAGCGUGCGCAGGCGGUGAUGUAAGACAGAUGUGAAAUCCCCGGGCUCAACCUGGGAACUGCAUUUGUGACUGCAUCGCUGGAGUACGGCAGAGGGGGAUGGAAUUCCGCGUGUAGCAGUGAAAUGCGUAGAUAUGCGGAGGAACACCGAUGGCGAAGGCAAUCCCCUGGGCCUGUACUGACGCUCAUGCACGAAA